CACUGAGGAAACUGCAGCUACACACAGAAGGAAGCUCAAAAGCUACAUUAAGCCCCACUAGAGAAAGAAAUUGAAGAUGCCAAGAUGCGGCGUGAAGUCCCAAUUUUGAGAUCUUUUAAUGUGAAAAGGAAGAUGGUAACAUGGAGGAAGGAAUUACAGUCUGAAUUUGAAGAAAUUAAGUCUUUCUUGGAAAGGGAACAAGCCACAAUUCAUGACAGGCUACUUACUGAAGAGAAGGAGGCUGAAGAAAAACUCACUGAAAACCAAAGAUAAAUUUCAAAGCACUUAUUUGUACUACAAAAUCAGUUAAAUGAAAUAACAGAGAAUUGUUUUCAGGCAGACUUGGAUGUGCUGACAGGUAUUGAGAAUAUUUAUAACACAUAUGAAAACCUGAAAACCCCUGCAAUCUUCUUAUAUGAAUCAAAGAAGGAGAGUUUGAGCCUCCCUCCACAUUAUUUUGGCCUGCAAGGAAUGAUGAGCACAUUUCAGGAAGAUUUGAUGCUAGAUCCAGAAACAACCCACCCUAGUCUUAUUAUCUCAAGAGAUAGAAAAAGUGUGAUACUAAGGAUGACGAGGCCAAACUUUUUUGGCAAUUCUCAGUCAUUUAGUUUUUACCCAGCUGUCCAUAGCUGUGAGGGAUUUGAUGCUAGGAGACACUUUUGGCAAGUAGAAGUGAGAGGCACAGGUGCAUUGUUCCUUGGUGUGUGUAAAGAAACAUUUCCCAGAGACAGUCUUAUAUCACCAGUUCCACAGAUGGGGUGCUGGCAAAUUCAGCCAUUCUGUAGUUCAUGCACUACAAGGAAUACAGAAGUCCUGCAAGUUGCCAUUUUUCUGGACUAUGAGUUGGGAGAGGUUUCAUUUUAUAGUUUAAAAAACAGAUCAUAUGUGUAUACUUUCACUGAUAAGUUUACAGAAAAGCUUAUGCCUUAUUUCUCUAUUGAACCUUCUUCACAAGCUGUUACAAUUGGUAUUGUCAUAGACCAAUGAU
rnacentral:lncRNA from 1 species